CGAGUGAAGAGGGAAGAGGGGAGCACCGAAGCCUGUGGUCAUUUGAUCAUAAGGCAAUGUGGUGUUUAGGUGUGCUUUGCGAUGACUCUGCUCUGCUCUAAGUCCAGUAAUGAAUACGGUUCAUGGACGUUGCCCAUUGAGGGUGUUUGGCCCGUAUGAGCGGAGACGAAAGCAGUCUUGUCCUGAGUAUACCAAGGAGUCGGGUUGUUUGAGAAUGCAGCCCUUUGUGGGUGGUAAACUCCAUCCUUGGCUCAAUACUGGCACGAGUCCGAUAGCGAACAAGUACCGUGACCCAAAGUUGAAAAGUAGUCUGAAGAGAGAGUAAACAGUACGUGAAACCGCGCAAAGGUUAAGAGUAGUGUCGUUGGUAGUCCUUUCCCUCAGAACUUAGAAGAUCCUGCCUUUCAUAAGCUACUGUUUAUCGUUUGCGAUUUCCUAGUAUGACAGUACUCAAAGAGUAUGAAUUCGAUUGUACUUCCACCGACACCCAUGACCCGAUCCCUAUGUAUCUUCUGGGACUAUGUAAGGUGCUGGUGAUAUCCACACCGGUCACUUGAUCACUGCAGUGUGUUCUACGAUCAUUGUGGGCUCUUGUUGUGUUCCAAAGUUCUAUGUUGUGCGAGGAUGGAC
rnacentral:rRNA from 1 species